AUUGUGAUUGGCUCACGUUACGAAUAAGCUUGCAUCGACUUUAUAGAUCGCACUUAAGAUCAAAGAAGGUAUAUAUGGUGCUAGAGGUAUUAUUAUAAGUGCUACUAAUCUAAAAAAAGUAAAAAAACCUUUCUGCAGUCGUGUAGGUUCCUUCAAUCUGAACAUGAUUGCAACCUAUAAGCAACAAUUGUAAUUGUAAGACUGAGAUUUAAAAUAAAUAUAUUAAUAAACAAAA